rnacentral:rRNA from 1 species
AAACCAGCACCUUAAGUGGUCAGGAUGAUUAUUGGGCCUAAAGCAUCCGUAGCCUGCUCUGUAAGUUUUCGGUUAAAUCUGUACGCUUAACGUACAGGCUGUCGGGAAUACUGCAGAGCUAGGGAGUGGGAGAGGUAGACGGUACUCGGGAGGAAGUGGUAAAAUGCUUUGAUCUCUCGAUGACCACCUGUGGCGAAGGCGGUCUACCAGAACACGACCGACGGUGAGGGAUGAAAGCUGGGGGAGCAAACCGGAUUAGAAACCCCAGUAGUCC